AAAAAAGGCCAGUGUAAACGUAGAUUAUCUGGUUGCAGUCUUCCUUCUUAGCGUACACCAAUGAGGAGUUUUUCACCUCGUCCCAGAUGAGCAGCAGCACUCCUUCCAGCUCUUCCCUGUUUGCCUUUGGUCCAUCUUCACACAGAAGUGAGAGAAGAGAAGACUCCACUAGCUUGCCCAUAUAUCUCAGCUCAGAAACAUAACCCAGUGUCUUAUGCCUUUUCUAAAAUGAUCUUUCUAUUUAGUAAACGUUUUGGAUCAAGCAAAAUAAAUGCAUAAAAGGUUUCUUCAUCUACACAAAAAUCACAUCAACUUUAUCAUGUUGGAGUUUUUUGUUUUUUUUCUCUGUGCUCCCACCAGGUCCGUUUACCAGUUUCAGGAGCCGACCAGAACCCCUGAGUGUAAAUUAUGUUGAGAAAUAAUGAGAUUUGGUUAUAUAAAAAGCAGUCUUUAAUGCCGAAAAAUGAUCAAAUGUUACAAGCCAUACAUGUCAUACAAAUGGAACAGAUACAGAGUUACAUUCACCGUCCAUCGCUGGGGCCACACUUAGCUCACCUUAUGCAUGUAACCAAGUGAGGCAAAGAUUGUAGAGCGAGUUUAGCUUUUUAUUCUUCUCUGCAAUCUGUACCCUCCCUAAAGGGUAGCCUAAUCAGUUUCAGUCUGUUUAUGUGUGACUGCCGGCAGACACGUAAGCUGCAGCGUGUGUGUGUAAGCAGUUAAAGGAGGCUAAAAGAGAUAGAGGAAAAGAUAAAACCUACAACAACCACAAAAUUAUGUAUAUUUUCUAGAAGUUAGUCCUUUCAGCCACACUGGAGAGAAAGGUCAUAUCAAUUGUAUAUAUACUGUAAGUCUGGGCUGUGAUUAUGCUACUUCAAAACCUUAUUUUUUUUAUCUAUUUAUUUAUUUAUUGAGGUCUGGAACUGACGCAUCACCACACCACCAUGUUUGAUUGUUGGUAUGAUUUUUUUUUCUUAAAUGUUGUUUUAUGACGUAAUGGAACAAACACCUUCCAAAAGUCCUACUUUUGUCUAGUCAGUCCACAGAAUGGUUUUCCAAAAGCCUUAUGGAUCCUAGAGAUGUUUUUUUGGAAAAAUCUGAGAUGGGCCUUUUUGUUCGUGUUGGUCAACACAGCUUUCAGUUUGAAACGCUCCCAUGGACGCAAUUGUUGCUCAGUCUGUCUCUUAAUUUGCAAAACCGUGAACACUGACCUUAACUAAGAUGCAUAUGGUCUGCAAGGCUUUAGUCUUGCAGACAAUCUUGCAGUCGCUGGUUUGGGUUCUUGUAUCCUCCUAGAUAAAUUGUUGAUUGUCCCUCUUGCAGUUAUUUUCCAGAUGGAAAGCAAGUCUUUCCAUUAGAAAGGCCUACAAUUUUAACAUAUUUUCUUCCUUUGUGGAUAAUGACACAAGAGUUAACUUGAGUUACAAAGACUUAGAAGUGUAUUUGUAACCCUUUCCAGACUGAAAUGUGAAUAUGUUUGAUUGUCAUAUGUUCUUGAAUUUCAUUAAAUUGGGGCAGCAGGUGUUGCUCUUUUAGAUAUUUUAGCUUAUCAUCAGACAGAUCAUACUGUAAGUUUGCUUACUUAGUGCUAAAUCGGUUUGAAAAUUCAGUAUUUGUAUUUACUCAUGUUAUCUUUGUCUGAUAUUGCAAUUUUCUUUGAUGAUCUUUAACAUUUAAGUGUGACAAAAAAGUUUAACAGAAUAAAUCUGCAAGUGGGCAAGCA